CAAAGGAUUAGGGCAUCGCGAGGCUUCCCGGGACUUGUAGUGUGAGAAGGGUUGAGCAACACCAAGUUAGCUCUUUACCGGAUUUAACCAACCGUUGGGGUCCCUUCAUCCCUAAGAGGAAGACUAAUGUAAAAUAACGUUGGGUUCCCUCUCACUGAGCACUCGCUAGGUGCCAGACAACACUUCCUUCAGAAAACGGGAAACUUCCAUUUGUCACACGUCUUGGUCCAGAUAAAUCCCAGGAAGUAGCAUCGUGAUCUACACUUCUGAUGAGAAUACUGCAGCCCACAGUAGGAAAGUUAUAUUUUUGAAUUCACGACUACCAGUACAGGAUAACAGCCCCUAGAAAUGGAAGCACUAGGCCGAUCCUACCACUGCACUCCAGCCUGGCUGACAGAGCAAGACUCUGUCUCAAAAAAAAAAAAAAAAAAGAAAAAAGAAAAAGAAAUGGAAGCACUAUUCCUUUCUUAGUUUCUCAUCUAAUAGUUUCCUGAGCAGGAAAGUUCCUAGUUCAGAAGAUUAUGAGUAGUAUGCACUGUAAAAAAUGUACAUCAUGUCUAAAUACUAAGCCUCGUACAAAGCUCUCAACAGAUGUUUUUAAAUAUUAAUAAUCAUUUAUGCCUCAACCUCUAAAAGAUCCCAGGAAGUCAGUAUCGAAAGUUAGGGUCCUUUAUUGGGGGAUGUCAGCAGAGAACGUGGGACAUGAAAACAAGUCUUAGGAGUUUGAGAAGGGGCUCCCAGGACAGGGGGUGCCCAGGGGUAUGGUGAAGGAGAGGUAGUCCCCAAGGGCACCCCAG
rnacentral:lncRNA from 1 species